GGGGAUAUAGCUCAGUUGGUAGAGUGCUUGCAAAAGGCCCUGGGUUCAAUCCCCAGCAUCACCA
rnacentral:tRNA from 1 species